rnacentral:rRNA from 1 species
CCCUUAGAUGUUCUGGGCCGCACGCGUGCUACACUGAGUGGAUCAGCGGGUCAGGUUGCGCGAAAGUGUUUCCUAAUCUUUAAAUCCGCUCGUGAUGGGGAUUGACGGUUGCAAUUUUCCGUCAUGAACGAGGAAUACCUUGUAAGCGCGGGUCAUCAUCCCGCGCUGAAUACGUCCCUGCCCUUUGUACACACCGCCCGUCGCUCCUACCGAUUGAGUGGUCCGGUGAGGCUUUGGGAUCUGGGCGGAAAGAGCGUUUCGCUGUUUCUGCCCGGAAAACUCAGUCGAACCUCAUCAUUUAGAGGAAGGAGAAGUCGUAACA